ensembl:lncRNA novel transcript, sense intronic to C17orf67
CAGCAUAGGUCAAGUUCUGGUGGGUAUUUAAGUUCAUUAUCACACCACUCCAGAGCCAUAAUAAAGGACUACUUUUAAUUUCUGCUCUAAUUACUGAGAAAUAAUUUACUUAAAUCAUUAUAGUUGGCAUUUGACAUGGAACACAGAUACUGGUUUUUGUUUUGCUUUGAUUUACACCCCCCCACUUGGAGAAAGGAAUCUGAAGAAAUUAAAACUCAUUUUCCAUAUACCCCUUCUUCCUUGGUCCAGGAACAUUUGAGAUUAUCCUUAAUGUUGGGCCAUUUCUAACUCAGCCAGUGCAAUUGUUGAAUUUGUGGUUUUCAGCAGAUUUGCAAUUUGCCUUUUGAUUUGACUAAUGAUUGCUUUUUAAGCCUUUGUGGCAUAUUCGUUUUCCUAAUAUUUUAAAUAAAUAGUGAAAUGUCAUGGAAA